CCGCGUCUCAAAGGGGUGCUUGUUCCGACAGGCUGAGAUUAUACCCAAUGAACCUGGGCGGGUAAUGCCGCCAAGGGAGGCGAUAACAUCGCUGU
rnacentral:ncRNA from 1 species